GCCACAUGGAAACUAAAGAUGAUAAGUGAUGCCUUCAAAAAAGUAAUAUAUUUGUCUCAAAUUUAUUAACUCCAAAUACAGUAUAAGUUUUUCUUUGGUAGAGCAAAUUAAUAAUAUCCAGAAAUUUGUUUACUGAUCAAAGCUUAAAGUAAACACACCUUAUGAAUAAUUCAAUGAAGUGAGAAACACUUUUUUCACCAGGAUUAAAGGGGCUGCAUAUCACUACAAGGAAAUUGCAAUUUGGAAGAAGACUAGGGGAGUAAGAAAGAGUGAAAAUCUAUAAGUAUUUAAAGGAAGAAAUACAGAUUGAAGAUGCCUGCCUGCCUGAGAUCACCCAGCAGGUGCGCGACCUCCCGGACUGUGCGACAACAGACCCAGCAAGGACCCAAAGACCCCGGAGGGGGUCUCUUCAGCUGCCUGCCUGCCUGAGAUCACCCGGCGGGUGUGUGAACUCCCAGACUGCGCAACAAUAGACCCAGUAAGGAAGGUGUUUCACCAUGGGAUUCACCUUUCCUUUCCAUUAUAUCCUGGAUGCAAUAUCUUUCUCCUUGGUGUAGCUCAUAUUGCGGUGGAGCCUAUGCAGUGUUUAUCAAGAAAGGGUACAUGGAAGUUAAAGGUUUUGACACCCU
rnacentral:lncRNA from 1 species